AUGUAUACGACUCACUAUAGGGCGAAUUGGGCCCGACGUCGCAUGCUCCCGGCCGCCAUGGCGGCCGCGGGAAUUCGAUUAGAGUUUGAUCCUGGCUCAGGAUUAACGCUAGCGGCAGGCCUAAUACAUGCAAGUCGAACGGUAACAGGUCCAGCAAUGGAUGCUGACGAGUGGCGCACGGGUGCGUAACACGUAUGCAACCUACCUUUGACUGGGAGAUAGCCCCGAGAAAUCGGGAUUAAUACCCCAUAAAAUUAUGAUGAGGCAUCUCAUUAUAAUUAAAGCUCCGGCGGUCUUAGAUGGGCAUGCGCGACAUUAGCUAGUUGGUGAGGUAACGGCUCACCAAGGCUACGAUGUCUAGGGGUUCUGAGAGGAUUCACCCCCACACUGGUACUGAGACACGGACCAGACUCCUACGGGAGGCAGCAGUAAGGAAUAUUGGUCAAUGGACGCAAGUCUGAACCAGCCAUGCCGCGUGCAGGAUGACAGCCCUAUGGGUUGUAAACUGCUUUUGUACGGGAAAAAACCUCCGGUCGUGAACCGGAGCUGAUGGUACCGUAAGAAUAAGCAUCGUUAUU
rnacentral:rRNA from 1 species